UCUGUGAAUUAGGUAGUUUCACGUUGUUGGGAAUUCAUUUUUAAUACACAAGAACAUAAAACUACCUGAUUUACUCC
rnacentral:pre_miRNA from 1 species